GCCAGCUUCAUCGCGCUCGUGCGCGACGCCGUGGCGCGCCUGCCCAACGGAGAGGGCACGCGACACGACGUGCUCACGCUGCUCAAAAUGUCGCAAUGGAUCGGCUCAUGCAACGACCAGGCACUCCUCAGCGCACUCUCUUCCGCUUUGGAUAGGUUGCACUCUGCGAAACGCGAUCCCGUCGUUAAAUAUGACCAAAGAACUGCUGUGUGGACGUAUUUACAUAGGAAUAGGUCUGAAGAAGACUGGGUAAAGACAACGGGUCGCGGGCGCGGCGGUAAGGCGGCAGCGGCGGC